rnacentral:rRNA from 1 species
AGAGUUUGAUCCUGGCUCAGGACGAACGCUGGCGGCGCGCUUAACACAUGCAAGUCGAGCGAGAACCGGCCCUUCGGGGCCGGGGACAGCGGCGAACGGGUGAGUAACACGUGGGUAAUCUGCCCUCGGCACCGGGAUAGCCCGAGGAAACUCGGAUUAAUACCGGAUGGCCCGCCUGCCCUUCGGGGCGGUCGGAAAAGGUAGCUUCGGCCUCCGGCCGGGGAGGAGCCCGCGGCGGAUUAGCUAGUUGGCGGGGUAACGGCCCACCAAGGCGACGAUCCGUAGCUGGUCUGAGAGGACGAUCAGCCACACUGGGACUGAGACACGGCCCAGACUCCUACGGGAGGCAGCAGUGGGGAAUCUUGCGCAAUGGGCGAAAGCCUGACGCAGCGACGCCGCGUGCGGGAAGAAGGCCUUAGGGUUGUAAACCGCUUUCAGGAGGGACGAAGCCACUCGGGUGAACAGCCCAGAGGGUGACGGUACCUCCAGAAGAAGCCCCGGCUAACUACGUGCCAGCCGCCGCGGUAAUAC